GACGACGUCGGGGAAGAGGGGUGGUGCUGCGUUGGAGGCGACGGUGAAGACAUGUUGGAGGUCCGUCAACGUCAUGAUGUUGUGGUUAAGCAGAGCCAGGAAAAGAGCGAAGCAGCUGGAGAUGCUGCUGUCCGAGUCGACGCUCGAACUGGGGACGGGGAGAUGUCGGCUGAGACGUUGACUGUUUUCCUGAAGUUGUGCGCGGCGGUUUUUUACGGAGUUAGCUCUUUUUUGAUCGUGGUGGUGAACAAGAGCGUCCUAACCAGCUACAGAUUUCCGUCAAUAUUAUUUGUGGGCAUUGGUCAGAUGUUAGCAACGGUAACCCUGCUGUGGGUGGGUAAGGCAUGCAAGGUGGUGAAGUUUCCUGGCCUGGACUACAGUAUGCCUCGGAAGGUGUUUCCACUACCUCUAUUAUACCUGGGGAACCAACUUACAGGAUUGCUCGGCACUAAGAAACUGAAUCUUCCAAUGUUUACAGUUCUAAGGAGGUUUUCCAUUCUGUUUACAAUGAUAGCAGAAAGUUUGUUACUUAAUAAGAACUUCUCUUGGUCUGUACAGGUGACUGUCUUUGCAAUGAUACUUGGUGCAUUUAUUGCUGCCAGUUCUGACAUGGCAUUUGACUCAUUUGGAUAUGGAUAUAUUCUUGCAAAUAAUGUGUUAACAGCUGCUAAUGGAGCUUACGUAAAGCAAAAAUUGGAGUCAAAAGAACUGGGUAAAUAUGGGCUACUUUAUUACAACGCCCUCUUUAUGAUUCUGCCUUCUUUGGUCAUUGCAUACUUCACAGGUGACCUUCAAAAGGCAGUUAAUUUUGAAGGUUGGUCAAAUACCAUAUUUGUGAUGCAGUUCUUGCUGUCCUGUAUAAUGGGGUUUAUUCUCAUGUUUUCUACAGUUCUGUGCACUCAGUAUAAUUCUGCUCUUACUACCACAAUUGUUGGCUGUGUUAAGAAUAUUUUGGUGACUUAUAUUGGAAUGUUUCUCGGUGGAGAUUAUAUAUUCACGUGGACCAAUUUCAUCGGGUUAAAUAUUAGGCCUCCAAAUUCAAACAAAGACAAGUAAAUAGUGCUGGAUACCCUGACCCCGAGGGAGAACAAAGCAGCAACAGACUAAAACUAGACAAUGUGGAGUCCACCAUAUGAUCAGGGAAUAACAGAUUCGAGUAGAGAUAAAUCACAUUAUUAUGCAACUUGCCCCUGCGAAACAGUCUUAAUAAUUCAGCUCAACAGGAUCCCAAGACUUCCAUUUGGAAAUCACAAAAAUCUUACGAAUGUGACAAGACAGUUUAUGCACGACGUUUAUUUAAUAAGCAUCUCCUCUUACAUGUUGCAUUAUAUGAACUGGAGGAUAAUUCAAAUUUUAUCAAUGUAAUGUGACUGAAAAUUAGAAAAAUCUCAUGAAAUGGAAGCAAGCUUUGUGAAAGCACUACAUUUCUCUGGUGCAGGUCCACUACAGUGCUAUUAGAAAGGAGGUUUCAGGAUUUUGAAACAGUUACAAGUCAGGAUAGUGUGUUGGAUGUAGAGGAACUAGCAGGAUGAUAGCAUUACCAUGAAUCUGUUGCUGUCUUCCUGGUACGUGGUAUGCUUGGAAGGUGCUUUCAGAAAUGAGGUGUUUUGUAGAUAUGGCUGUCAGUGCAAGUUAGCAGAGGAGGCAGCAAAUAUAUAAAAAGGUGGUAGAAGUGUAUAUCGGUGCAGACUGCUUUGUCCUGGACGCUAGUGGUAUUGGAGUUGCGUUCAUCCUGGCAAGUGGCGAGCAGCCCAAUCACACGCAUCACUUGUGCUUUGUAGAUGAUGUAUUUUACAGCAUCUGCAGUUUGUUGUUUUUUGCAGAUGCUGGACAGUACAGUAAUAUGAGUUGAGUUACUUGCCUCAGAAUUCCCAGUCUCUGGCCCAUCUCAACAGUCACACGAUUUAUAUGGUGGGUCCAGUUCAGUUUCAGAUUGGUAAUCCAUAGCAACAGUAAUAUCUUGAAUACCAAACAGAAAUGACUAGAUUCUGACUUAGAGAUAGCACUUCAAUGCUGCAAAAUGUCCCAUUUAUCAGUCUAAUCUUUAAAAGUUGUCCAGGUCUUGAUGCAUAUGGACAUGGAUUUUUCAGAAAGAGGAGUUACAGUACUGAAUAUUGCAUAGAGAAUUUCCCUACUUCGAAUCUUGGGUUAGAGGAUGCCCUCAAAAGUCUCCUCCCUUCAUUUUUAUUCUCGCAUAAGUCUACUCCUAACAUGCCCUUUUCAUUGAAUGCAAGAUUGAUAUUUUGGUUUGAUGGUCAAGGUAGGGACGUAUAAGCUAGGUCUUGGGGUAACAGAUUUUGAUGAAGUACAAAUCUGACACGGAUGGCUCAUAGCACCUAUUGGAGGUCCAUUUCUAAGCUGCUGGAUCUGUUCUGAAACUCAUUUAUCAUGACAAAAAUGUCAUACAAUAUGA